rnacentral:rRNA from 1 species
UUUGACCUCAAAUCAGGUAGGACUACCCGCUGAACUUAAGCAUAUCAAUAAGCGGAGGAAAAGAAACCAACAGGGAUUGCCUUAGUAGCGGCGAGUGAAGCGGCAAAAGCUCAAAUUUGAAAUCUGGCUCUUUCAGAGUCCGAGUUGUAAUUUGAAGAAGGUAUCUUUGGGUCUGGCUCUUGUCUAUGUUUCUUGGAACAGAACGUCACAGAGGGUGAGAAUCCCGUGCGAUGAGAUGAUCCAGGCCUAUGUAAAGUUCCUUC